AGAAUUUGAUCUUGGUUCAGAUUGAAUGCUGACGGCGUGGAUGAGGCAUGCGAGUCGAACGGAACUAUAGGGCAACUUGUAGUUUAGUGGCGGAAGGGUUAGUAAUACAUGAAUAACCUGCCUUUUACCUGGGGAUAACGGCUGGAAACGGUCGCUAAUACCGAAUGUGGUAAAUGCGAAGAAUUUGCAUUUAUUAAAGUAGGGGACUCUGAAAGGAGCCUCGCGGUAAAAGAGGGGUUCAUGAGAUAUCAGCUAGUUGGUGUGGUAAUAGCGCACCAAGGCUAAGACGUCUAGGCGAGUUGAGAGAUUGACCGCCAACACUGGGACUGAGACACUGCCCAGACUCCUACGGGAGGCUGCAGUCGAGAAUCAUUCGCAAUGGGCGAAAGCCUGACGAUGCGACGCCGUGUGAGCGAAGAAGGCCUUCGGGUUGUAAAGCUCUUUCGCUUGGGAACAAGAGAGUAUGUUUAAUAGACGCACAAUUUGAGGGUACCAGGUAAAGAAACACCGGCUAACUCCGUGCCAGCAGCUGCGGUAAUACGGGGGGUGUAAGCAUUAAUCGGAUUCAUUGGGCGUAAAGGGUGCGUAGGCGGUUUAGUGGGUCUGUAGUGAAAUUCCGAGGCUCAACCUCGGAGCAGCUAUAGAAACUACUAGACUUGAGGGUAGGCGGAGAAAAUGGAAUUCCACAAGUAGCGGUGAAAUGCGUAGAUAUGUGGAAGAACACCGGAGGCGAAGGCGAUUUUCUAGCCUAUACCUGACGCUGAGGCACGAAAGCAAGGGGAGCAAACAGGAUUAGAUACCCUGGUAGUCCUUGCCGUAAACGGUGCAUACUUGAUGUGACCGGGCUCAACCCCGAUCGUGUCGUAGCUAACGUGAUAAGUAUGCCGCCUGAGGAGUACACUCGCAAGGGUAAAACUCAAAAGAAUUGACGGGGACCCGCACAAGCAGUGGAGCAUGUGGUUUAAUUCGAUGCAACGCGAAGAACCUUACCUAGGCUUGACAUGCAGAGGACGAUAUCAGAAAUGGUAUUUCUCGCAAGAGUCUUUGCACAGGUGCUGCAUGGCUGUCGUCAGCUCGUGCCGUGAGGUGUUGGGUUAAGUCCCGCAACGAGCGCAACCCUUAUCGUUAGUUGCCAACAUUAAGAUGGGUACUCUAACGAGACUGCCUGGGUGAACCAGGAGGAAGGUGAGGAUGACGUCAAGUCCGCAUGGCCCUUAUGCCUAGGGCUACACACGUGCUACAAUGGUCGGUACAGAGGGCUGCCAAGUCGCAAGACGGAGCAAAUCCUAUAAAGCCGAUCUCAGUUCGGAUUGUAGUCUGCAACUCGACUACAUGAAGCCGGAAUUGCUAGUAAUGGCGAGUCAGCAACAUCGCCGUGAAUACGUUCCCGGGUCUUGUACACACCGCCCGUCACAUCAUGGGAGUUGGUUUUACCCGAAGUCACUGACUUAACCGCAAGGAAAGAGGUGCCGAAGGUAAGGCUGAUGACUGGGAUGAAGUCGUAACAAGGUA
rnacentral:rRNA from 1 species